rnacentral:rRNA from 1 species
GAUGAACGCUGGCGGCGUGCCUAAUACAUGCAAGUCGAGCGAACAGGCGAGGAGCUUGCUCCUCUGACGUUAGCGGCGGACGGGUGAGUAACACGUGGAUAACCUACCUAUAAGACUGGGAUAACUUCGGGAAACCGGAGCUAAUACCGGAUAAUAUAUUGAACCGCAUGGUUCAAUAGUGAAAGACGGUUUUGCUGUCACUUAUAGAUGGAUCCGCGCCGCAUUAGCUAGUUGGUAAGGUAACGGCUUACCAAGGCGACGAUGCGUAGCCGACCUGAGAGGGUGAUCGGCCACACUGGAACUGAGACACGGUCCAGACUCCUACGGGAGGCAGCAGUAGGGAAUCUUCCGCAAUGGGCGAAAGCUUGACGGAGCAACGCCGCGUGAGUGAUGAAGGUCUUCGGAUCGUAAAACUCUGUUAUUAGGGAAGAAAAAAUGUGUAAGUAACUAUGCACGUCUUGACGGUACCUAAUCAGAAAGCCACGGCUAACUACGUG